rnacentral:lncRNA from 1 species
CCACCAUUUAUGACACGCCGAACAGAGAAUUUCCUAGACAAAUCGCCAUAAUUUUGCCAUUGUUUUUGUGUACAUUUGGACAGCUCAGGAAAUUGAACCACCACCACCAAGGUCAAGUUACCAAGUUCUAGCUACCACACCGCAAAGUUGCCACAUCACCUUAGCGUCACCACAUCUGUUGUAAACCCCCUCACCACUGCCAGUCACUUCUAUAUUUUGCCACGCCAUAAAUUGCCAUACCAGAGUUUUCCUUGCCAUGAAACUGCAAUACAUUAUCCACCCAAAUUGUGUCACAGGAUUGAAACUUCAUUUGCUACUGUUAGUCGUUAAAGUAACACUGGUUUAUUUUACAUCAUCUGAAAUUGGUGCGUGUCAUUGCUGAGCAUUUCAAGUUUCGAUGAUCUGUAGUGCAGAGGCUAUAUGUACAUGUAUAUGUACAGUGUGGUAGUUACUGUAUGUGCAUGAGUACACGUAAACAUUUGUACAUGCACUGGUAUUGCUGUACAUGUAGGGACAUGUACAUGUAUGCACAGAUACAUGUUUACACUUUUAAAUGGUUAUAGCAUUCUUUGGAGCUGCAUUUUUUAGAGAUCAUCAAAUUUAUUAUACUACUGAUUUAACACUUAGGCUGAGGUCUCUGACAUGGCAUGGGGGAGUAAUCCCUGCAGAUGAAAUCUGGUUGAAGUUUGGUGGUGACAAGGGAGGAAACUUUUUUAAGCUUUGCUUCCAAAUUGUCAAUACUUCACAUCCAAAUUCCCUGAAUAAAAUGUAGUUUUAGCCUGCUUUGAAGCCCCAGAUUCUAGUGCAAAUCUGCAGCAUCUUGCUCCCAUCUUGGAUCAGAUGACUUCUCUUCAGAGCCUUACGUGGAGGUAAAUCAGAUUUGUUUGCAUUUGUAUGUUUGAAAAACUUUACAUGUACAUGUAAAACUACAUGUAAUAUACAUGUACAAGUACAUGUGUACACUAAAUGUUAAUGCAUACGUGGAUAUUGGCAGUUGAUGAAAGUGUAUCAGGUAUGAUCAUUUCCCUGACUAUCAUGUCACUGUGCAGUUACGGUCUUUUGUACAGUUAUGGUAUCAUGUAUCAUGUGAUGUGAUAAAUGUAUAUGUACCUGUACAUGCAUAUACCUGUACAUAAAACUGUGCAGUAAAAGACUGGCUUUUUAUCUCUAACGGAAAGAAAAAAGUAUGUCUCUUCGAAUUUGCAGACUAUGAACUUCCGACAAAAUUUUACGGGAUUUGCAGUUGCAACGGUAAGAUUUUGUGUUUUGUUAUUUGUAUGAUUACUGUGUCACUGUUCCAUUUUUAAAUCCCUGAAAAUGCAUCUAUUUGGAGUAAUAAAAUGUUUUUAUUUCUUUUUUCACAGCUCGUUACUGUUGCCUGUAUUGUCACACAUCAAAGCAACAAAUGCAGGUGCCCACUCAUGAGAGAGAUACCCUAGUCAAGCCCCGAACAGUAGACACAUUGGCCUAUGAUUUUCAAGUCUACAUGGAGGAUAUAUCAUACAAAAGCCAUGCGAAGGUCAUCUCUCACCAGGUCAAGGUCAUGUGUGCAAUGUUAACUUCUAAUCCAAAACUGUCUUGAAUGCCUGUAAAUAAAAAUAUUUAAUGUGGAAUUGAACUAGCCUUAUUGCAAAUUGUGUUGGUAACUUUCUUUCAAAAGAAAGUCUUAAAAUUUUACUCAUUGUAUCUCUUAUGACAUAUGAAUUCAAUUUUUAUGGAGUGCCUUGGUUUCUUUCGAAUGCAUGUACAUGUAUGUUGUAUCGCCAACACUCCAUAUAUCCCUUGAGGUAUACAAGAAAUUGUUUGACAUAUUUGAGAGUGGAUGCCAUGCAAUUGAGUUGAAGCUGUACAAAGUAUCGAGCACACAAUGAGGAAGAGGACUCGCUUCAAGAGAACACCAAUUUUGAUGAACAGGUUGCUGCUGAGUGUGCAUGAUAACAGAAACUUGACAAGGAAAAGGCCGGAAUGGACGUGAAGCUCACAGCUUGAAGAGAAAUUACCUCCUCAAGUACUCUAGAACAACUUGAAAGAUUCCAAUUAAGCAUUUCAGGGAAUGGCAAAUAAGGAAACUGGUACGCUUGAUCUACCGUAUGGCACUGGUCCUAUAGCCGGCUGCUAGGACAAAGUCCUUCGGAAGCAUCACGUAUGCAGACAAGCUUACCGUGAAAGGCUUUGUGAGAAAUCUUGCCCACAAGUGUUACCAGAUAAGUGUAUCAAGGAGUUUAUGGCCACAUACAGAGGAAUGUUGCCACAGGAAUCCAUUACCCCGAAGAUGUAUCUCCUUGAAAACCAUGCCUUGUAGCAGCUUUCCAGAUUCGGAUUUGGGUUUGGGCUGUGAAACGAACAAGGCGGUGAAUUGAUCCAUACGGAAUUCAACCUAACAGGUCGUGUAGUUCAUGGCAUCAAAGAUCAUGUUAAGCGUCUUCUGACUACCAUGAGAAGACACCACACCAGUACGCUUUCCGUAAUUCAAGCUCAAGUAGCUUGCAAAGUGAAAGGAAUAAAGAGGAGUAAUGGAGAUUUGUUUCAAAUGUAAUGUAAAUAAUGUGACAAAAAUAUGCUUUUUGCAGUGUAUUGAUUAGCCCAAUACUGACACAUUUCAUCUGAUUUAAGGUUAAAGAUCAGUUUCAUAAGAUAUGCCACAGGCAAAAAAUGGGAUUUGCAGUUGUAAUCAGAAUACAUGUACCUUAUCAUUAGCCUGACUGGUACACGCAUAUGUACAUGUACGUGUAGUGCUAAUCUAGAUUAUCAUGCUCCACAUUUGAAUACACACAGAUAACUGUUCACACAAAGGGUACCUAGAAUGGAUGGCAAAAAUUGAACUUAAAACAUUCAGGACGAAACUGCAGAAAAAAAUGGAACACGAGUCAUUUAUAUUGCAGUGAUAGGACAUGUGCAUACGUGUAUUCAGGACAUGUUCAGUGGCACUGGUUGGUCAAUAAUCCCUAAGCCUACAUUUUGUUCAUGUGAAGAGGUAUAUUUCAAUUGAAAAAAUAAACAGGUUGACAUGAAGUUCGAAACACAUAAUAACAUUUCUACAUUUUUCUUUUUAAAUCAUGUCUCCUAUAUGCAGGCUGGCCUACAUCAAACUUCGGGACCCCCCACUCCCAAGUUUCCCCCAAACCAUAGGCAGUGUUGUCUGAACUGCACUAACCCGGUGUGGGGGAGACUUGGAUGUGUAAAUAUUGAGAAAUUCUGACUUUCCUACUGAUAAACCAGCCCGGUAAAUUUGAAUACUCCGUGGUGUAUUUCAUGUUUUAAAGCACAGUUCCCCUCAUAUGCAUGUACAUUUGUAUUACCAUCAAAGCUAAAAUCUGUGCCCUCUCUUCACAUCAUCAACCCUAUCCAACAUGUCACAGUCAUCUACGUGUACAAGUACCAAGGGGCGUCCACAAGUUACAAUGUAGGCUUAGAUUUUCCUUCGUUUAAGCAACGGCGUACCCAAAUUAAAUAUUCCCACCGCCCAUGCCCCACCGAGUAUUAACGUUGAACCCAUACACGUACA